GACGAACGCUGGCGGCGUGCCUAAUACAUGCAAGUCGAACGCAUUUUCUUUCACCGUAGCUUGCUACACCGAAAGAAAAUGAGUGGCGAACGGGUGAGUAACACGUGGGUAACCUGCCCAUCAGCGGGGGAUAACACUUGGAAACAGGUGCUAAUACCGCAUAAUUCCAUUUACCGCAUGGUAGAUGGAUGAAAGGCGCUUUUGCGUCACUGAUGGAUGGACCCGCGGUGCAUUAGCUAGUUGGUGGGGUAACGGCCUACCAAGGCUGCGAUGCAUAGCCGACCUGGGAGGGUGAUCGGCCACACUGGGACUGAGACACGGCCCAGACUCCUACGGGAGGCAGCAGUAGGGAAUCUUCGGCAAUGGACGCAAGUCUGACCGAGCAACGCCGCGUGAGUGAAGAAGGUUUUCGGAUCGUAAAACUCUGUUGUUAGAGAAGAACAAGGAUGAGAGUGGAAAGUUCAUCCCUUGACGGUAUCUAACCAGAAAGCCACGGCUAACUACGUG
rnacentral:rRNA from 1 species